UGCGCAGGCGGCUUCCUAAGUCAGAUGUGAAAUCCCCGGGCUUAACCUGGGAACUGCGUUUGAAACUGGGAGGCUAGAGUGCGGCAGAGGGGGGUGGAAUUCCACGUGUAGCAGUGAAAUGCGUAGAUAUGUGGAGGAACACCGAUGGCGAAGGCAGCCCCCUGGGCCUGCACUGACGCUCAUGCACGAAAGCGUGGGGAGCAAACAGGAUUAGAUACCCUGGUAGUCCACGCCCUAAACUAUGUCGACUAGUUGUUGGGGGAGUCUGUCCCUCAGUAACGUAGCUAACGCGUGAAGUCGACCGCCUGGGGAGUACGGUCGCAAGAUUAAA
rnacentral:rRNA from 1 species